UACGAAGGGGGCUAGCGUUGCUCGGAAUCACUGGGCGUAAAGGGUGCGUAGGCGGAUCGUUAAGUCGGGGGUGAAAUCCUGGAGCUCAACUCCAGGACUGCCUUCGAUACUGGCGAUCUAGAGUCCGGAAGAGGUGAGUGGAACUCCUAGUGUAGAGGUGGAAUUCGUAGAUAUUAGGAAGAACACCAGUGGCGAAGGCGGCUCACUGGUCCGGUACUGACGCUGAGGUGCGAAAGCGUGGGGAGCAAACAGG
rnacentral:rRNA from 1 species